rnacentral:rRNA from 1 species
GACGAACGCUGGCGGCGUGCUUAACACAUGCAAGUCGAACGGAAAGGCCCCCUUGUGGGGUACUCGAGUGGCGAACGGGUGAGUAACACGUGAGUAACCUACCCUUGACUCUGGGAUAACUUCAGGAAACUGGGGCUAAUACCGGAUAGGAGCUCCUGCUGCAUGGUGGGGGUUGGAAAGUUUCGGCGGUUGGGGAUGGACUCGCGGCUUAUCAGCUUGUUGGUGGGGUAGUGGCUAACCAAGGCUUUGACGGGUAGCCGGCCUGAGAGGGUGACCGGCCACAUUGGGACUGAGAUACGGCCCAGACUCCUACGGGAGGCAGCAGUGGGGAAUAUUGCACAAUGGGCGGAAGCCUGAUGCAGCAACGCCGCGUGCGGGAUGACGGCCUUCGGGUUGUAAACCGCUUUCGCCUGUGACGAAGCGUGAGUGACGGUAAUGGGUAAAGAAGCACCGGCUAACUACGUG